UAAGCAUGGGAGUUCGCUAUAGUUUACACCCUAUUGUUAGGCCUUAUUCUACGCUUGAAUGCGCAAGACCGCAACUCAAGGCGGGGCAGAUAUCCCCCGUUUGCUGAAACCACUUCAAACAGAAAAUCUACUUAUCCAGUAACAGGCGACGUAACAUACGAAGGACACGCGUGCUACGAAGAAAUAGGAGAUUCUCAAAGACAGGGAAGGCUACGGAUACACAUGGGGCUAGGCUAACAAGUAUCUU
rnacentral:lncRNA from 1 species